CCCCAAAGUGUUGAGUUCAGCUCAGGGCAGCUUCCCUGCUCUGUUAAUUAAAUCUGGGGACAGUAAAAGUGGCUAAGGGAAAUGCUUGAAUAGAAAGCAUCACUGUAUUCAUAUACUCCCUUGUCUACAAUG
ensembl:snoRNA